rnacentral:tRNA from 1 species
GGGGCUGUAGCUCAGCGGGAGAGCAUCUCGUUCGCAACGAGGGGGUCGAGGGUUCAAUUCCCUCCAGCUCCA